rnacentral:rRNA from 1 species
UACGAAGGGGGCUAGCGUUGUUCGGAAUUACUGGGCGUAAAGCGCACGUAGGCGGAUUGGUCAGUUAGGGGUGAAAUCCCAGGGCUCAACCCUGGAACUGCCUUUAAUACUGCCAAUCUAGAGUUCGAGAGAGGUGAGUGGAAUUCCGAGUGUAGAGGUGAAAUUCGUAGAUAUUCGGAGGAACACCAGUGGCGAAGGCGGCUCACUGGCCCGAUACUGACGCUGAGGCACGAAAGCGUGGGGAGCAAACAGG